GAAAUGCGAUAAGUAAUGCGAAUUGCAGGACCCCAGUGAGUCAUCGAAUCUUUGAACGCACAUAGCGCCCGGCAGCAUCCUGCCGGGCAUGCCUGUCCGAGCGUCAUUCCACCCCUCAAGCCCUGCUUGGUGUUGGGGCCCUACGGCUGCCGUAGGCCCCGAAAGGAAUCGGCGGGACCCCCCGGGACCCCUAGCGCAGUAGCACAUCACUCUCGCUCGGGACGCACCGCGGGCCGGUACCGCCCUACAAAACCGCCGCCUCUAGCGCGAGGUUGACCUCGGGUCAGGUAGGACUACCCGCUGAACUUAA
rnacentral:misc_RNA from 1 species